UACGUAGGGCGCAAGCGUUGUCCGGAAUUAUUGGGCGUAAAGAGCUCGUAGGCGGCUUGUCACGUCGGGUGUGAAAGCCCGGGGCUUAACCCCGGGUCUGCAUUCGAUACGGGCUAGCUAGAGUGUGGUAGGGGAGAUCGGAAUUCCUGGUGUAGCGGUGAAAUGCGCAGAUAUCAGGAGGAACACCAAUGGCGAAGGCAGCUCGCUGGGACGUGACUGACGCUGAGAAGCGAAAGCAUGGGGAGCGAACAGG
rnacentral:rRNA from 1 species